UACGUAGGGUGCAAGCGUUGUCCGGAAUUAUUGGGCGUAAAGAGCUCGUAGGCGGUUUGUCGCGUCUGCUGUGAAAACUUGGGGGCUCAACCCCCAAGCUUGCGGUCGAUACGGGCAGGCUGGAGUUCGGUAGGGGAGACUGGAAUUCCUGGUGUAGCGGUGAAAUGCGCAGAUAUCAGGAGGAACACCGGUGGCGAAGGCGGGUCUCUGGGCCGAUACUGACGCUGAGGAGCGAAAGCGUGGGGAGCGAACAGG
rnacentral:rRNA from 1 species